rnacentral:rRNA from 1 species
AUGUCUUAUAAGCUCCAGCUACCAGAAGGCAGUCGUAUCCAUCCUGUCUUCCAUGUGUCACAACUGAAGCCUUUCACACCAGAUUACUCGCCGGUGUUCUUCGAGCUGCCCCGCACACCGGACCUCACCGCGGCUCCACUCCAACCUGUCGCCAUCUUGGAUCGCCGCAUGGUCAAGAAAGGAAACAACCCCGUGGUCCAGGUACGCGUCUAGUGGUCAUCGCUCUCUAUGGAGUCUGCAACCUGGGAAGAUUACAAUGUGUUGCGCCAUCGCUACCCGGCGGCACCAUGCUGGACCGACGAUGCUGCAGCUCAUGGAGGGGCAACUGUCACACCUGAUACAAGUGUAUCGGUGGACACAUGA